UUUUCAGAGGGUGGCUGUGGGGAAGCAGUAACUUGAAAUAGAAGAGUCCAUGGUUAACAUGCUGAGAAACUAAUCCAGAAUGGAUUUGAGAUCACAUUCAGAACAUCCUCUCCUAUAUUGGCUGGCAGACUCAAUGGACUGGAACAAACUCUGCAGUGGACUUAGGUCUUUGAUUCCUUUGAGAAAAUGUGCACCUGGAAUCUACCCAGGGCUUUCACAAUGGGCUGAACCAGCUCCUCCAGACUCUGGGAAAGUUCAGACCCACAUUCCCACUCGCUGGCUCGGAACCAUCUGAGCUUUGAUCUUGUAUAUAUUUCAUCAAGUUGCACAUCACUGGCUCCCAAUUGUGGCUCAGGCUGAUUGCAUCAUUUAAGAAAAGUGCUACAGGAGGCGUGGGGAAAACAACCAUUUUUGGUCCACGCUCUCUACAAAUACAUGCAACAACAACAAAAGGAAAAGAGAAAGAGUGAGCCAUUUUUAACCAAACUGUAUUGCUGCAAGGGUGAAAAGCUUAACCCCAACAUGACAUCAUAAGAUUUACUCAUUCUUUGGGCCCAGACAGAAGUUAUGGGCCCAAAGAGGGGAUUUCCCAAUGAAAUUCUGUGGCUUGUGUUAUGCAGGAAGUAAGCCUCUAUGAGUCUUAAUGGUCACUGAAAGCUAUAAACGCAACUCAGCAUACUUGCAGGAUACGUAGGAGCUUCACUGAGAAGGCCACUCCAACCUACAGCCCAGCAGCUGGAUAAUUUCCAUUGGCCUCACAAUUGCUUGAGUGAAAGUCAAGACAAGGUCUCCUGAUUCCUGCCUCAAACUGAUUCUAGUUUGAUAUUUCCAACAACAUAUUUGUUUGGUUCUCUCCAUGAGCUCUGCCUGAAUUCUAGUGAUUUGGAAAAAUGAGCUGGAACAAAUGGCCCAGCUUUGGAGCGUUUCGUAAGUAACAAUAUUACAAAUAGGAACAGUUUUUCAUGCCUGGAGAAGCGUUGGCACCAUAAGAGAUCUUUGAGCAAAUUUGCCCUCUAUCUGUUCAGGACAUUGUGAUUAUUUUUCAUGGGACUCCAGUCAAAUCCUCUAAAUUGCCCAGUCAACUUGGACUUGAUCUCAACAGAAAAGAAAUAAAGAAAAAGAAAUAAUAAGAAAAAAACCACCUCAAAUCCAUUACGUUUUAAAAUCAAAAUAUUUCACAAUUUGAAGUGAAAAGAGGGAAAAUGAGUUCAAAGCAGUGUUUCUUAGAACCAGCUGUCCAGCUUGCCAUGUCACUUCAAGAAAUGCUUUGGAUCAAUGUUUUCGGUAGACAGGAGAUGGACCGAUCAAACGAAACAAUUGUCCCUGGCUUGUGCCUCUGUUCCUGCAAAUGAGGCCAGAAAUGCUUAUUAACAUCUAAGGAGCUUGUGGAGCUGUAUAGAGAAGAGCCAGUGAGCAGGAGACCUCUUCUUCAUUUUAUUCAUCUGGAUGCCAUCAUAGAGCAAUAACUGUGAGAGGUGUGCUCCCUGAGUUGUUGUUUGAAAGGAAGGUAACCCCAUGUUCAUAGUACAGCUCAAAUCUAAUGACUCCUUGGUAAAAAAGCAAUGGGAGUUUCUUAGUGGUAAACAGUAUUAAUCACAAUUUCCCAUUGGUGCAGACUAUCAUUAAGCGAUUAAAGACUGUUUACAAUGAAGGAGGGAGGGUGUCAAGGGGGUGGUAUUUGUUUUGACAACCAUUCAUUUCCCAAAACCACUGGGAACCAUAUUCUUGUUUUAAGUACAAGGAAAUCUCUGAGGUCAUAGGGCUGAGGCGAAGUAUUAAUACUUUCUCACUCCCUUGUGCCACAGUCUUCUUCCUCUGCCUCCACUAGCCAGUGUCAAAAAGUGACACAGCCUGCAAAGAUCCAUCACUUCUCCCCAGAAGGUUAUCUCUGUCUGCUGCUGGGACCCCAAGGCCCUCAAGAAGAUUUUGGAAUUUUGGUGAACAAUCUUUGCCUUCAUAUAUAUAUAUGAUAUUUGUAGAAAUGCCUUUCAUUCUUCUGGCUUUGGGCACGAUCUGGUGUUACUGCUGUCACCCUCUAUUACCUGAUAUAAACAUAUUGAGACCAUUUAUUUUAUCAAAUAGAAUGCCUACAGACACUGCAGGUUGUUUGCCUCAUGCCUGGCAAGCCUCCAACAGCCAACACAUGUCUUGCUUGUUUUCCAGGAACCUUCCUCAAACAAAAUUAAUUGUUGCUUAGUGGACUUUUGUCAUCAAGCCAAAAGUAUAGGGUUCAGAACCAAUUAAUGAUUAGAAAUAAACAGCCAUUGUACUGUUUUUUGGCACUUCCUGGUUGCCACAGUAUGGAGUCAUGGAUUUCCCACACUUCCUAGCCCAGCACAUAUUUUUUCUUGUUGUGCUGAUGGGUUGAUGAUUGGACUAGAUGAUCUUUUCCAACCUUAAUGAUUCUAUGAUUCUAUAAAUACGUUAGCCCCAUCUUUUUUUUUUUCCUGAAAUGAUUAAAAAAUAAAGACUUGUAAG
ensembl:lncRNA